rnacentral:pre_miRNA from 1 species
UUCAACCUGUGAUACUCAAACUGUGUGACACUUUGUUCUUUGCAAGAAGUGCCGCAGAGUUUGCAGUGUCACCGAUUUGAG